rnacentral:lncRNA from 1 species
UAAUCAGGGUGCCGCAGCCCCGCUGGGUCCCCUGGGUACAGUAGCAGGGGAGGAGGGUGCAGGCUCUCCAAGAUCCUAUUUCAGGCAGGCUGAGAGACAAGACUUUUUUUUUUUUGGCCACAGGAAGAAUGUUCCCUCCAACAGAACUGCUCAUCAGGCAAGAGGAAGGGAGGAUGGCAGGGCCAGCGGUGGUGACGGGUGGCUUUCCAGCAGCCUCUUCCCCUCUUCCUUCAGUGAGUCACAGGCCUCAAGCAGAGAGAAAGCGCCAGAAAAUUGGGAAGCCCUCUGCAGUGCAACCCACCAGAGGAAGAGCCUGCCUCUCCUGACUGAUUCACCAGGACCCCGCGACCAGGCCCCCACACCCCCAGUUCGCUUGCCAGCAGGGGCGAAUCCAGUGCCUGACCCACCCCAGCCUUCCUUCCCGGGAGCCAGAAGACACUGCCCUUGUGAUGAACGUGCCAAGUGGAGCGUGUGCCCCCAGGCCCUUGUCCCUCGGCGUGGGCCUGCCCCUGCGCCGGCCGGUGGGUUAUUUACGGGCGCCCCGUGUGGCCUUUGCCCGGAGCUCAGUGUCUCCAAAAGGCUGCUCGGCCUAGCACCGGAAAUUGGAAAUUGGAAACCGAGGAUCUAGCCCAGCCAUCUCUGACUCGGGCUCCAGCAAACCCAACGCACGCUGACCUCUGCCCUGUCCACCUGGGGCAGGCGCGCCUACCUGCCAGCGCUGCCCCCCACGCCGACGGCCGGCGCCUGGUCAGCGGCCUGGGGGAGGGGAGCCUUCAAACCCAAGCCCUGGCCACGGAGGCAGCGCAGGGUGUGUGUGUGUGCAACAGAAUGAAUUCUUAAAUGUUUUUUCUCUUAAAAAUUUCAUCCGCUGUGUUCAUCAAUGCAUGGAGGUGGAACAUUUGGCAAGAUUAUUUUAAGUGGCGCUGCAACCUGUGACUGUAGUUUCAAAUCAAGGAAUUUGCUGAGCAGCUGUGGGGAAGAACAAAGGACCCGGGUGGGGGACAGCUAGGCUGAGUUUGAGGGCGAAGAGCUGGGAGCAGAAGCAGCUGGGAGGCCGGGCGCUAAGAGUCCAUAUUCUUAGCCGCUGUUCUCAUCUGCUGAACAUACCACUCGAGGCAUUAAAAUGGUAUAUAUAGACCAAGAGGAUUGAGAUUCAAUUUAAAACAAUGGCUGAGAGCGUCGGCUUGGGAGCCAGACAGACCUGACUUGAAACCGGCCCUGCCACUGACCGGCCUCAGUUGAAUUAUCUGUAAAAUGGGGAUAAUCCUGGCAACCACAUCAAAGGGAUUAUUCUGAGGAUGAGAUAAGAGAAUGCAUAGGAAGUGUUUGUUUGGCCCAGCUGGUAGCAAACAGUAGAUGUUCAAAAUGCCAUUGUUGCCAGUAGGCUGUGUCCUUGUCACUGUUUCAUUCAACAAACAUCUACAUUGAGCACCUUAUGUUCCUUAUGUUAUAUUCCAGGUGCAGGGAUAGGUGUUGUAGGGAAACAGCUAUGUGAAACACAGGGGUUAAUAUGCUAUGAGAGAAAGAAAAGAUACUUCUAUUGAGGUGAAGAGUAAUAUCUUUUGAGAAAAGUUAAUUUACAAAAUUACCCU